GAUGAACGCUGGCGGCGUGCCUAAUACAUGCAAGUCGAGCGAACAGACGAGGAGCUUGCUCCUCUGACGUUAGCGGCGGACGGGUGAGUAACACGUGGAUAACCUACCUAUAAGACUGGGAUAACUUCGGGAAACCGGAGCUAAUACCGGAUAAUAUAUUGAACCGCAUGGUUCAAUAGUGAAAGACGGUUUUGCUGUCACUUAUAGAUGGAUCCGCGCCGCAUUAGCUAGUUGGUAAGGUAACGGCUUACCAAGGCAACGAUGCGUAGCCGACCUGAGAGGGUGAUCGGCCACACUGGAACUGAGACACGGUCCAGACUCCUACGGGAGGCAGCAGUAGGGAAUCUUCCGCAAUGGGCGAAAGCCUGACGGAGCAACGCCGCGUGGGUGAUGAAGGUUUUCGGAUCGUAAAACUCUGUUAUUAGGGAAGAACAAAUGUGUAAGUAACUAUGCACGUCUUGACGGUACCUAAUCAGAAAGCCACGGCUAACUACGUG
rnacentral:rRNA from 1 species